rnacentral:snoRNA from 1 species
AUUCCAUGAUGAGGGCACUUUCGUAAUAAUUCUUUGUACCUUUCAUGUACCUCAUACAAGGACUCAUCAUCCAUUUGUUGGAAAGUAGUGAUCUCGUUCCUCAACUU